rnacentral:rRNA from 1 species
UACGUAGGGUGCAAGCGUUAUCCGGAUUUACUGGGUUUAAAGGGUGCGUAGGCGGGCCAUUAAGUCAGUGGUGAAAGCUCCGAGCUUAACUCGGAAACUGCCAUUGAUACUAUUGGUCUUGAAUUCGGUCGAGGUUGGCGGAAUGUGUCGUGUAGCGGUGAAAUGCUUAGAUAUGACACAGAACACCGAUUGCGAAGGCAGCUAGCUAGACCGACAUUGACGCUGAGGCACGAAAGCGUGGGGAUCAAACAGG